UCAACAUCCGGAAAUGUUUGUCGCUUGUGAAUGUCACGAUGAUAGUUGAUGAUGUAAUCAACCAUGUUGGUAGCAGCAUGUCGAAAGGUUUCAGGUUCAAUUCCCAGCCUGGGUUCUUCAUCACUAUUAUUCCCAUCCAUGCUUGCUUUGACAACGAGCAUUUGCUUAGAGACUACGGACAAAAGCGCUGACGUUCACACUACGGACAAAAGCGCUGACGAUGAGCGAUUAUCGACUAACGUGUGUGGUUGCGAACCGUGUUGCAAAAUAUUAUCUUCAAACCGUUGAAUCCAACACAGCACGGUCCACUAGAGAUAUCUCUAGUAGGCCGUAAACACAGCUUUAUCUCAAUCAAAAAGCUGAUGUUGCAAAUUAUUCAUUUCCCUCUUUGGUGCGAACUCUGUUAUAAAAGUCAUUUGAUUUUAGUUUUAAACUUUAGUAUGCGAAAACAAACCUUCAUUUGCGUCUUUUACUUAUAUGUAAGUCGCGUAGUGUAAAUAACACCAUACUUGCAUGGUCAAAAAGUGUUCCGUCUUCCCCACCCUACUAUGCUAAACUAGGUUUCAUCGUCACAGGAUCCAAUAGCUCCAGUAACACAAUGCGUUAAUCUGUGCAGGGGUAAGUUGGGACACCAGGGGAACUGGAACACUUUUUUAAAAGCUUUUUUUACGGGCACCAUUUGAUGACGGACGAAAACAAAUGUUACAAUAUUAUUCGACAGUAUUCUGACUGCCCAACAGCCAACAAAGUGCGCACCAAAGGUGGUUAGGCUACCUAUAGUAUAUGGCGCUCAUUUCGCUUAUUGAAUAAUCCAGAAUCGAAGUUUAAUAAAAAAAGGUUGAAAUUUU